CGCAACGAGUAAUGAGACUUCGCCCUCUUUCCCGUUCGCUAGGUACCUGCCGCCUCUGGUUGGGCCGGGCCGGGCCGGUGCGUUGGGCACGCAGAGUCGUGGGCCUGCUCGAGCCGGUACGUUACAGACGACUGGGCCGACGUCUCGCGGCUGAAAUCUCCACCGGUCUAGCCUGAGACCUCCGGCGAGACGCCGGCGGCAGCAGCAGUAGAGCAGUGUAGAAGCGUCCGGCCGCGUCGUAUCACCGGCGAACUCGCUACCGACGGCGCGGGCCUUCUGCAAUCUGCCUCCGACAAGCUAGUGAGGGUUCGUGUGAUGAGCUCUGUGCUUCCGAGUCCCGAGCGCUGAACUGGAUCUGAAGCGUGGUGGCUCUCUCAGGUGGGGUUCCCGGAGUUGAGAGCCCCGCCUUGCGGGAUGGGAAGGCUGGCCGUCGCCGCCGCGGUGGCCGCAUGGGCUAUCCCGAUCGCCGCCUUGGUUGACUCCAUCGUGCCUGACCCCUACAUGGAUGAGAUAUUCCAUGUUCCCCAGGCACAGCACUACUGCCGUGGAGAUUUCUUGACUUGGGAUCCCAUGAUCACCACCCCUCCUGGCCUGUACUACAUUUCUCUAGCAUAUCUUGCUUCCCUGUUUCCUGGUGCAUGGGCUAUCAAGGUAGCAGAGGCAUUUGACCCCCUUUGCACCACAGCACUUCUCCGGUCAACUAAUGUUAUAAUGGCAAUGGUCUGCGGUGUUCUUGUCCAUGACCUGCUUCUGUGUAUCAAGCCAGGAAUUGGCAAGACGAAGGCAACUGCUUAUGCUAUUCUUGUAGCGUUGUAUCCUGUCCACUGGUUCUUUACCUUUCUGUAUUAUACUGAUGUCGCAUCAUUAGCUUCAGUUCUUGCGAUGUACCUGUCCUGCUUGAAGAAACGGUUUUGGGUCAGCGCAUUGGUGAGUGUUUGAACGUGGUUCUUUAUAGCUUCGGUGAGAUAAGGUUGCAUUUUGUGGAGACCAUAGCAUAUACAUUAUUUGUUGAUUUAUUGUGCUCACAACAGGAGUUUCUUUAGCUUGCUUGAGUUGCAGGAAGUUGUACAUUCAUAAAAUUUAUCCAUAGCAUACUUGAUGGUGAAGAUUGUUGAUUCAUAAGAAAAUGUUCAGUGCCCCACAUCAUUUUUUAGCAACCAAACCACACAUUUCACAUUGAAAUUUUUGAUAUACUUCCUGCCUUUGCUAAUUAUUUUUGUUCCUUUUGCCUGCAGUUCGGUGCUCUCUCAAUACUUUUCCGGCAGACUAAUGUAAUAUGGAUGAUAUUUUUUGCUGCCAAUGGAGCCAUUGCAUAUGUGCAAGAUCUUUCUCUCAGUGACUGCCUUUCUGAUGAGAACAGUGAACCAACAGAUAAAUCAAGAACAGAAGUGUCUGACAGGGAUAGCAAAGUCAGUGCUUUAGGUUUGAGAAGACGACGAACUAAUCACCCCAUAAGGAAGAGGGGAGUUGUUUCUGGAUCUACUAAAUCGCACACCAGUUUUACGGAAGAACUAUUCGACAUCGGCUUCAAAAUAUGGAAUUCAAAGUGUAAAGUUUUAAUCACUUUUGCACCGUUCGCAAUAGUUCUGGUGGCAUUUGGAGCAUUUAUAAUCUGGAAUGGUGGCAUAGUACUAGGUGCCAAGGAAGCUCAUGUUGUUUCGCCACAUUUUGCACAGUUAUUGUACUUUGGUCUAGUGUCAGCUACUGCCCUCCUACCGUGGCAUUUUACUCCCGGACGAGUAUCAGACUUGUUCCACUGGUGUAGAAAGAACAAAACCUUUAGUUCUCUGGCAAUGCUGAUAGCUCUUGGUUUAAGCUUUGUGGCUGUACAUUUAUUCAGUAUUGCUCACCCUUAUCUUCUGGCUGACAAUAGACAUUACACGUUCUAUAUCUGGAGGAAGGCCAUACAAGCUCGCUGGAUGAUGAAAUACAUUUUGAUUCCACUUUAUGUGUACUCAUGGUUUUCAGUUAUCAACAUCUUAGUUUUUCCUGAUCUUACAGGGAAAUCGCAGCCAAGAGUUUGGGUGGUGUCCUUUGUUUUCUCAGUUGCUCUAGUUCUCGUCCCUGCUCCGUUGGUCGAAUUUAGAUACUACACAAUCCCAUUGGUCAUACUGGUCCUUAAUUCACCGGUAAUCGGUAAUGGCAAAUUGCUUGCUUUGGGGUCUGCAUACGCUGCUGUGGAUUUGUUCACUCUGGCGAUGUUUCUGUUCAGACCAUUCCAUUGGGGCCAUGAGCCGGGAACACAAAGGUUCAUGUGGUAGUUGAUGAAAUUGACAAGUGACCAACUCCAGUGUUCAGUCACAGCCGCUCCGGCUUAUCGGUGCCCCCUUGGAGAAAUUAGAACUACAAUGAUGUGUGAUCUUAAUUUUUUUGGGGUCAGUUUUUGUGUAUACUAGAGUGUUCUUAUGAGUUUAAGUCAAACAUACGUGCUUGGAUUUGAAGAGAUCUUUUUUUUCUUCAACA